CAAGGAAUCUUCCGCAAUGGGGGCAACCCUGACGGAGCAACGCCGCGUGGGGGAUGACGCCCUUCGGGGUGUAAACCCCUUUUCUGCGGGAAGAAGGGCGGGGGCAACCGCGCCUUGACGGUACCGCAGGAAGAAGGACCGGCUAACUACGUGCCAGCAGCCGCGGUAAUACGUAGGGUCCGAGCGUUGUCCGGAGUUACUGGGCGUAAAGCGCGCGUAGGCGGCGGUGCUGGCCCGGCGUGAAAGCCCCCGGCUCAACCGGGGAGGGUCGUCGAGGACCGCACCGCUUGAGGGCGGUAGGGGCUGGUGGAAUGCCUGGUGUAGUGGUGAAAUGCGUAGAGAUCAGGCGGAACACCCGUGGCGAAGGCGGCCAGCUGGGCCGUCCCUGACGCUGAGGCGCGAAGGCGUGGGGAGCGAACGGG
rnacentral:rRNA from 1 species